rnacentral:rRNA from 1 species
UUCGUAGCUGGUUUGUUAAGUCUCUGGGGAAAUCUUCCGGCUUAACCGGAAGGCGUCUCAGGGAUACUGGCAGACUAGGGACCGGGAGAGGUGAGGGGUACUCCAGGGGUAGGAGUGAAAUCCUGUAAUCCUUGGGGGACCACCUGUGGCGAAGGCGCCUCACCAGAACGGCUCCGACAGUGAGGGACGAAAGCUGGGGGAGCAAACC